rnacentral:lncRNA from 13 species
CAAGACUUCCAGGAGAAAUUAGGGAAACAUCUGCAAGGUUAAGGCAGGAAGUCCGGGGGCUGCUUCCCAGAGAGGGAAGUGCCUCUCUUGAGACCGCUGCCACAGAGCUGAAAUGCUAUAAUCUGGGACCAAGGACACUGACUGAAGACAAGGGAUUAGACACCAAGAAGGAUCAAUAAUACAUCAACUCAACUCCACUCCUUCAGCCACACAGAGGAGGAACGUACUGAAUAUCAAGAAUAUUUCAGAGGACCCUGGAGCAGAGAUGGUACCUGCACAGUGCACCUUGAUGAUAUCAGCAUCCACUGCCAAUACAGCGUGAAGGCAAUCAUGGGGAAGGUUUCUCAGUCAAGAAAAGUUUGUCAACAAGGAAGGAUUCUCUCACGGAGGAGUUUCUUCACAGGAGUGGGCAGAAGUGGAAAAAAACAGUGAAUUUGUGGAAGACUCACACUGCCCACCAUGGGCCUUGCCCGAGGACACAGCAUGCUACAACAGGACUGUCUAAUUCUAAAGUCCAUACUCUUUCUGUGGUUGUCUACCCUGGUUGCUCCGUAGAACCACCUAGGAACUUGUCAGCAAUACCAAUGCCUGGGCUACGCUCAUCAGUUUAAUUGGAUUAUUUAGAGGUGGAGUGUUUUCUAAGGAUCCCCAGCUGAUUUUAAAGCAGAGCUACCACCUCCAUGCAGUGUAGAAGACACCUCCUAACACUGUCCUCACCAAUCCUUCCAGCCUCAGUUGCAAGGCUGCCCUCUGGACCCCAGGGAGUCCUGACACAAAGCCACAGUCAAAAGUAACUGCCCUUCCCUUGGAUCCCUCUAGCAUUCAUAGAUCCCUUUAUCUGGUGCUGAUCUGCCCUGCUACAUGAUGCUUAUGCCUUACUGUUGUAUCCAAGUGCAGAAUAAAUAUUUACAUAUGCCCUUUGCUCA